rnacentral:lncRNA from 1 species
UUUUACUAUUGGUUCUUCAUUUGUCAGUUAAAAAAGUCCUGGGGCCAAUUGAGGAUCAGUGGUAGAGGAGGGAUUUCCGGAUCCCCCGAAGAAAGACAAACGAAAGAAAGGAGAGGGAAGGUUUUCUGCCAUUUUUUGGAGGAAGAAUUCAACAACCAUGUAAAUGUGGGUAGCUAGGGUCAACAGGGGCUAUAUGAAACAGUUUAGGGCAGGUGCAGAAACAAGACAGAAGAUACAUUGAUGACAAGCCUUACCAGACGGGAGAUAGUAACGCCCAGCAGUUGUCCCUGGAAGGUUUUAAACUGAAGUUAUUAACAAUGGAACAUUUCUCUUGGUGACAAGGAGAGCAAGGCAAAGAAAUAUUCAGUAUUUUCUUGGAGACCAACCAUCCAGUUCUCAAAGAAGCCACUAGAAGACAACAGAAACCUUGGAACUGGAGUCUCAAGCAGACUUCCUUGUAUCUGGACCACUGCUGGAAAAUGCUGUUCACUGUGAG